ACUUAAUAUCAUAAAUAUAAUAAACCAUUAAAAUUAUUAAAUUUUGCUUAAUUAUUUAAUCUACAAAAAUGUACAAAAUAAUAAACAGCAAGAGAAUUAGAACAGGCUUAUUGCCUACAGAAGUACAUGGACUUUAUGGCAAAACUGCUUGGUUUCAGCAUAAAUGUAAAAAUAGAUUACAUUAUUUGUUGUUUUGCAUAGCUCAAAGCGAUGCAGAUGAGAAGAUUUUCAGAUGGAAGAUAUUAAUUACACAUAUGCUCAUACUUAGCAGUUUGGAGUGUUUUCACUAAUCUCAUUUCUUCUAUGUAUUGGAUACUGG
rnacentral:lncRNA from 1 species